CCUGCACUUCAAAUAUAACUUGUACCAUAGAUAAGUGUUGGAGUGCAGAUAUAAAAAGUGAGUAAGACAGAGAGUCAGCACACAAUACAGAGCGAAGCACAUAGACGUAAGAAUUUAUCCCGAGGUUCGGCCAAGCCUGAAAUGCUUGCCUAGUCCUCGUUGGAGUUAGCCACACUUGGGCUUGGAGUCUAUUUCAACUCCUUCCUUCGUUUGCUCAGAUCUGUCAGUAUGACAGAUAGAGACUUCCACUAUGUUGAGUUGGGUUACAACAAAACCGCGGCUGCUUACAAUCUUCUUGACAGCACUCCGGCAGAGUAACAAUGCGAUCAAGACUUUGCUCUAGCUCUUUGCAGCACCUCUCCACUCUCUAAAGGCUUAUAACUUUGCCUUCACACAAACUAGAGAUAUAUACACGAGAGUGAGAGAGAGAAUCGAUCCGAGUGAUGUAUACAAUUGUUGGCUGCACUUGUGUGUUUGUUGAAGUCGCCUAGGGGUCCCUUUUAUAGACCCAAGGGGCCUAGGAGCCGUUGGAAUCCAUUUUAUAAGGCAAUACUUGCUUUCUGUCGGGUGGCGCACCGGGCAGUCCGGUGCACCACCGAACAGGUCCUGUAGCUUGUCCGGUGCGCGAUCCCCUUCCAAAUCGGGCUCACUUGACCGUUGGAGCAACGGUCGCCUUGGCUCACCGGACACUGUCCGGUGCACACCGGACAGUCCGGUGCACACCGGACAGUCGGGUGCACCAACUAUCCGUUGGCCCAGGCCACGCGUCGCCCGCUGAUCGCGCUGCCAACCGUUGGCGCAGUCGACCGUUGGCUCACCGGGUAGUCCGGUGCACCACCGGACAGUCCGGUGAAUUAUAGUCGUACGCCGCCAAACUUCUCCUGAGAGCGGCCUGUUCACCGGAGUUCAGUCUAGUGCACCGGGCACUGUCCGGUGCACCACCGGACAGUCCGGUGUGCCAGACUGAGCUGAGUCUUGGCUGUACACAGCCAAGCCUUUUGUAUCUCUUUUCUUCUUUUCUCUGUUUCUAAUACUUAGACAAAUAUAUUAGUACACAAAAACCAAUGUACUAAGUCUCGAAACAUACCUUCUCUUUGAUUUUCACUUCUUUAGUAUUUGGCAUGAUUGAGAUUUAUGUUGGACUCAUAAACCAUCAAGUCAGCUUGACUUGAUCUAGAUUGACAUUUCUGAGCUCCAACAUCCUGCAAAGGUCACAUAGAAUAUCUCCAAUCAUAGGAACAACCCAAACUAAAGGUCAAGGUGCACUUAGCUCUUUUGGGCUGCUUUCAGUUCUGAUUUUGACAUUGGUUCUCCUUCCAGUGUCCUUGUUCACUUUUUGAGCUUGGUCUUGAGCCUUAUGACUUACACCACAUAAUUGUAGACAUUACCUCAUUGGUUGUAAGUCAUGUCCUUAUGUAGUGUUCCUUGAUGCACCAUAACUCUUCUUAACUCGAUCAACCUCGAUUCCACAAGUCUCCUUCUUCACCCCUCGCUUUGGGUUCCUGGUCUCCUUGACUUUCUCCCGUGCACUCGGUACCUCGAAGCUCUUCUUGCUUUCAUCCUUGGUUUGAUCGGUUGUCUCCAAGUUAUGCAUAUCAAGUCUCACUUAAGCAAUGUCCAUCUUUCUUGUGAUGUCCAUUAUCUAUAGAUAAUUCCGUCUUUGGACCAUCACACCUGUUUACUUGUGUUGAACCCUGUUAGCUUUGCAUUCAGCACCUGUUCAACACUUAACACACUUGUUAGUCCUUUAAUUGGGUUGUCAUCCAAACACCAAAACCCACAAGAGAGAUUUCAAUCUCCCCCUUUUUGGUGAUUGACAGCAACACAAUUUAAGCUUACAUAAGAAUAAGAUUUAAAGCACAAUUUUUGAAUUCUAAGUUUAUAGAAUGCUCCCCCUAAAUAUGUGUAUACAUCAAAUCUUAAAUUUGGCCUUAUAUGCCAAAUUGCACAUACUUAGGCUAAUUCGAAGCACUACUAUACCUUAGCACCUGUGGGAUGCAUUUUGUCACUAAUUAAACUGUGAUGCGUAUGACACAUAAAUGCACAGAAUCAGAGUUAAACACCAAUUGAAUAGAUAUACCACAGAAAUAUCAGCCUACCACUAUUCACCAUUAAUAUACCAAAUUAAAACUAUUUUAAAGCACCAGAACCACAUGAAUAUCUAUUACAGGAUAAACACAGUAGAUACUAAAUGAUUCAUAUCAACGGAAGCACUGAUUUUGCAUUAUCGCCAUAUAAUACAAUAAGAAGCAUAAGAAGUAUCAACUAACACAUUUUUCCUUAAGACUCAAGGAAACCCCUUUAGGAUAAGCUUUCCUCUCAGGUUGAGAUAAGCUUUAAUGCACAAUUUCUCCCCCUUUGACAUCAAACACCAAAACCAUAUUCAAGCAAGAACAUAGAACGAUGUCAAGGGACAGCAGGGUAUUGAGCAGGUAAAUUUUAACACACUAACAUUACUCCCCCUUACACAUUGAACAUAUGCAACACACGCAUUUGGAGGAGAGUUAAGAUACAUAUACACAAAAGAUCAAUACUUCCUUUUGUAACUUUACCAUGUUGUGGUGUACUUUCCAUCUUGAAAGUUUAAUCUCUAGGGAGCUUCUCCACACUUGUGUCUGAUCCUUUAUCCUAACCUUCUCGGAGGUACCCAAGUCCUGAUUGCUCUAUUUCUUGCUCAUCUUCCCCUUUCCACCUUGAGACUAUACAAGAUCACUCAAGAAGCAAUUUAGUCUCAAAAGACACAAGUUAUGUGUGCUCCCCCUAAAGUUGUGCAACAAGUAUUUGAAUGACUUGCACUUUGCACAUUCUAGCAUCCUCAGAACAAGAGGGGAUCACAACAUAUCUUGGUCUAGACAUAAUCUAUCAAUUUCAUCACAAGGAGAUACCAACUGGAUAUAUGACAUAAUACAACUUGUGACUAGUGGAAACGAUGCAUGCCUCAAGAUAUAUAACAUUUUACAAGCAACCUAGGCACGCUUCACACGUGAUGAUCAUUGCAACACAUACACCAAUUGAAAGAUGAUAAGAUCAUGCAUAUAAAGUACAAUGUCUAACCAUACCAAGAUUAAGAAUUACUUCAUUUUAAGUGCACCAAAGGAAACAACAUUUUAGGGCAUAAGGCACCUAAGCCAAGAUACUAUCAAUUGAAAGGCAAGAACAUAGCUAUGAUCACAAUCAACAAAACUUCAAGAUUUUUAAUGAAAUUGCAUAGUUCUAUUCUCCAUACCUUUGCCUUUACCUGAAUCUCCAUGAGAGCACUUGUUGUCACCAACUUAGGGCUCCUUUUGCUCAUGCACCUCAUAGCUCAAGAAGGUGCAUUAGGCACAACAUGGAUUUGGUAUACACAUAGUACCAACAUAGGGUAAUUAUGUGAACAUGGACUAAACAAGAUGUCAUGCUUGCACAUAGGUUAAUCAUUAAAAAACCAUAUAGCAUGAUUCACAAAAAGAUACAGGUUUAUCCAUGAACACAAAAAGAGUUAAUCAUGGUAAUUAUAUCAAAUGAAAAGCUACCCAUUGAAUAAUUCAAAAGAUAUAACAUCUAGAACGCACAAUCAUGAUUAAGCAAGCAUUAUUAUGAAUUUGAAGAUCAUGAACCAUUGAUAACACAUGCAAUCUCAAAAGCAUAACUACUCCUAGGAUAGGUAGCACAACAAUCCAACUUAAGAGCAAUACUGAUUAUCAAUAAUGUACUUAAUGUACUUAAGAUACACGGGUACCAUCCUUUGGAGAGCAAGUUGCAGAUUCUCAUCAAGGUCCUUUGCUUGAUUCACCAAUAAUGAUUACGGACCUCUACAACUUAUUUCACUUGAGAUGAACAUGGGAUUAGUAUUGCACAAUAAUUCAACCUUGGGUCAAUGAAUAGACAAUAAAAAUUAACAGCUUAAGCAUAGAAUUUGAAUUAACCGUCUUAAGCUCUCCCAUGGUCUCCAGUCCAUCUCGAGGCACCUGCAUGGUCUAGUUGGCACAGUUUGGUACCCAUCUCGGGAUGGGUCCAUAACGAUCAUUCAUAAGAGCUUUUGGUACCCAAAUAGCAAUUUUGCUAGUUCUAGGUGAUCUCAUUACUGAUCUAGCACAAGUGUAUGGUUUGGGUCUCCUAAGUGAAUGAGAUUGAGAUAGAUUUACUUGCUUAGGAACCUUACCCUUUUUACAUACCUUGGAUAGAUGACCCUGCUCACCACACUUGUAGCAGAAGCGUUGCUUAACCUGACAUGACGCUUGCUGUUUGUCUUCUUUCUUAGUGGGGGUCAUCCCGGAGAGUGCACGUGCUUUAUUUAUCAUUAGCGGACAAGAAGUGAUCGUAUGGUUCUUGUCAUUGCAUCCGAAGCAUCUCCUUAUCCCUUCAUCCUUGUCGUUGUAUGGACACGACACAAUGAGGUGUCCUGACUUAUUGCACUUAAAGCACCUCCUUUUCCCUUUUCUAUUUUGUUCUUGGAUGACAUAGAGAAAUGGCCAGUGCAAACAACAUGACUAAUUGAAUCUUUACCUUUUUCCAAGUUCAUGUUGAUUUCGUCAUUUUUAGCAUUAGGAACAUCCUUCUUAUGGAGCUUAACACUUGCUGCAGUUUUUCCCGUCUCAAGCUUCUUCACCACGCGCCCGUGGAUAUCUUGAGAAGCUUGAUGCUCAUCCAAGAGUUGGCUUUCUUUUGAGCAACCAGGGUUAGCACAUGGUGAUAUAUUAUCUAGAUGUGCACGUGUGCAAGAAUGAGGUUCAUAUGAAUUUAGGUUUGCAACUACAACCUCAUGAGCAAUAUCAAGCAUGAUAUGUCUAUCCAAAAGAUUAUCAUGAUAAUAAGACAAUAUCAUAUUUUUCAGUAAGAGCAAGUUUAUCAUGAUUUAGCAAUUCUACAUGCCUCUCAAGCAUAGCAUUUUCCAUUUUAAGUUGAGCAACACAAGAUAAAUCAUCAUCAUUAUUUCUUUGCCAAUUAAAACUGAAUCAUACCGUUGGACCAAAUCAUCAUGAGAGCACUUUAGCUCCUCAUGUUCUUUGGUCAUCUUCUCUAGGCUGUCGUUGGUUUUGAUGAGAGUGUCCUCUAGCCUGAGAAGCGUCUCGCCUUGUUCCUUGUUCCUUCUCAACAGCUUAACCAAGAGCGCUUUGUCUUCUUUGUUGAGAUGGGUGUAGAAAGGACGAAUCUCCUCUUCUUCCACAUCGUCGGUCUCAUUUUCCCUGUCAUUAUUGUCAGUGGAAGCAAAACAGGAAAAUGUACCUUGUGAUGAUGUAGACUCCUCAUCCUCAUAUUCCUCCUCAUCAUCGCUUUCAUCUCUACUUUCAUCGUUAGCAGCGGAAUAGAAUAUCAUGUCUCAAAAUGCCCUGCACUUCAAAUAUAACUUGUACCAUAGAUAAGUGUUGAAGUGCAGAUAUAAAAAGUGAGUAAGACAAGGAGUCAGCACACAAUACAGAGCGAAGCACACAGACGCAAGAAUUUAUCCCGAGGUUUGGCCAAGCCUGAAAUGCUUGCCUAGUCCUCGUUGGAGUUAGCCACACCUGGGCUUGGAGUCUAUUUCAACAUCUUCCUACGUUUGCUCAGAUCUGUCAGUAUGACAGAUAGAGCCUUCCACUAUGUUGAGUUGGGUUACAACAAAGCCACGGCUGCUUACAAUCUUCUUGACAGCACUCCGGCAGAGUAACAGUGCGCUCAAGACUUUGCUCUAGCUCUUUGCAGCACCUCUCCACUCUCUAAAAGCUUAUAACUUUGCCUUCACACAAACUAGAGAGAUAUACACGAGAGUGAGAGAGAGAAUCGAUCCGAGUGAUGUAUACAAUUGUUGGCUGCACUUGUUUGUUUGUUGAAGACGCCUAGGGGUCCCUUUUAUAGACCCAAGGGGUCUAGGAGCCGUUGGAAUCCAUUUUGGAAGGUAAUACUUGCUUUCUGUCGGGUAGCGCACCGGACAGUCCGGUGCACCACCGGACAGGUCCUGUAGCUUGUCCGAUGCGCGAUCUCCUUCCAAAUCGGGCUCACUUGACCGUUGGAGCAACGGUCGCCUUGGCUCACCGGACACUGUCCGGUGCACACCGGACAAUCCGGUGGACCAACUAUCCGUUGGCCUAGGCCACGCGUCACCCGCUGAUCGCGCUGCCGACUGUUGGCGCAGUCGACCGUUGGCUCACCGGACAGUCCGGUGCACCACUAGACAGUCCGGUGAAUUAUAGUCGUAUGCCGCCAAACUUCUCCCGAGAGCAGCCUGUUCACCGGAGUUUAGUCUAGCGCACUGGGCACUGUCUGGUGCACCACCGGACACUGUCCGGUGCACCACCGAACAGUCCGGUGUGCCAGACUGAGCUGAGUCUUGGCUGUACACAACCAAGCCUUUUGCAUCUCUUUUCUUUUCUUGUUUUCUCUAUUUCUAAUACUUAGAAAAUAUAUUAGUACACAAAAACCAAUGUACUAAGUCUAGAAACAUACCUUCUCUUUGAUUUUCACUUCUUUAGUAUUUGGCAUGAUUGAGAUUUAUGUUGGACUCAUAAACCAUCAAGUCAGCUUGACUUGAUCUAUAUUGACAUUUCUGAGCUCCAACAUCCUGCAAAGGUCACAUAGAAUAUCUCCAAUCAUAGGAACAACCCAAACUAAAGGUCAAGGUGCACUUAGCUCUUUUAGGCUGCUUCCAGUUCUGAUUUUGACAUUGGUUCUCCUUCUAGUGUCCUUGUUCACUUUUUGAGCUUGGUCUUGAGCCUUAUGACUUACACCACAUAAUUGUAGACGUUACCUCAUUGGUUGUAAGUCAUGUCCUUAUGUAGUGUUCCUUGAUGCACCAUAACUCUUCUUAACUCGAUCAACCUCGAUUUCGCAAGUCUCCUUCUUCACCCCUCGCUUUGGGUUCCUGGUCUCCUUGACUUUCUCCCGUGCACUCGGUACCUCGAAGCUCUUCUUGCUUUCAUCCUUGGUUUGAACGGUUGUCUCCAAGUUAUGCAUAUCAAGUCUCACUUAAGCAAUGUCCAUCUUUCUUGUGAUGUCCAUUAUCUAUAGAUAAUUCCGUCUUUGGACCAUCACACCUGUUUACUUGUGUUGAACCCUGUUAGCUUUGCAUUCAGCACCUGUUCAACACUUAACACACUUGUUAGUCCUUUAACUGGGUUGUCAUCCAAACACCAAAACCCACAAGAGAGCUUUCAAAUUCAACCACCAAAAUUUAUUUAGGAAAAGGUUUGAUCCUAUUUCCCUUUCACCGAUACCAUGUCAGGCACGACCACCAUGUAGUCUCAUAGCUUUAGGCCUAGCCACCUAACGCAAAACACCUCUAGGUCUAGUAGCACGUCUCUGAAUAGGAGGAUCAUGCACAUCAUGAGAAGAUUGUUGCAUGUCCCUACUGCUCUCUCGCAUAUCUCUUCCUCCUAACAAAACACAACCAAGUGAAUACUCUUAGUGGUACCUCACCUCUCUCUUAGGCGGAGUCUUUUUGUGGGAAAGGGUCAUCUUGGGUGGCUGUGGUGCUCUAGAAAGGGGAUCACUAGAGAUAUCGGGCAAAGUAUCAAGUGGCUUCUUUAGAUGGUUAGGUUUGGACAACCACACUUGUUUUUGAGGUGGGGCUCUUGGAGGCUCCUCAAACACUCUACUCUCAGCUGGGAUGGCAGAUUUAGGUGGAGGGAAUUUGAUAGGAUGAGAAGUGGCUGCUGAAUGCCUGUUGUAUGCCUUCCUUUUGUGUUCAAUUAGUAAAGUUUUGCUGCUGUAUGCCUGUAAUAAGAACAAAUCAUAUUCAUUCAGAAUACAUGAGCCAGCUAGCUAGCUAGCUAGCUAGCAAGUACAUGUUCAUUUGACUGGAAGUAUACAUGACACAUUAACGUAAAGCCUACAGUGUACUGAGGUCCAGCUUGGCUCUAGGAAGCCUUUUUUUGUUUUGUUUUUGUUGAAUCUGUUUUUCCCUUUAAUGUAGUACUAUAAAAAAACCUGAUUUAUCAUGACUAUUGCCCAUGCGAUCGAUACAAUUAAGGCUACGAAUAAUUUAA